UACGGCGAGUGAGCGGCAAAAGCUCAAAUUUGAAAUCUGGCACCUUCGGUGUCCGAGUCCUAAUUUGAAGAGGGUAGCUUUGGAGUUUGGCUCUUGUCUAUGUUCCUUGGAACAGGACGUCACAGAGGGUGAGAAUCCCGUGCGAUGAGACGCCCAAUUCUAUGUAAAGUGCUUUCGAAGAGUCGAGUUGUUUGGGAAUGCAGCUCUAAGUGGGUGGUAAAUUCCAUCUAAAGCUAAAUAUUGGCGAGAGACCGAUAGCGAACAAGUACAGUGAUGGAAAGAUGAAAAGAACUUUGAAAAGAGAGUGAAAAAGUACGUGAAAUUGUUGAAAGGGAAGGGCUUGAGAUCAGACUUGGUAUUUUGCGAUCCUUUCCUUCUUGGUUGGGUUCCUCGCAGCUUACUGGGCCAGCAUCGGUUUGGAUGGUAGGAUAAUGACUAAGGAAUGUGGCUCUACUUCGGUGGAGUGUUAUAGCCUUGGUUGAUACUGCCUGUCUAGACCGAGGACUGCGUCUUUGACUAGGAUGCUGGCAUAAUGAUCUUAAGCCACCCGUCU
rnacentral:rRNA from 1 species